rnacentral:rRNA from 1 species
UACGUAGGGUGCGAGCGUUAAUCGGAAUUACUGGGCGUAAAGUGUGCGCAGAUGGCUUCGCAAGUCGAGUGUGAAAUCCCCGGGCUUAACCUGGGAAUUGCGCCCGAAACUACGGAGCUGGAGUAUGGCAGAGGGAGGUGGAAUUCCACGUGUAGCGGUGAAAUGCGUAGAUAUUGGGAAGAACACCAGCGGCGAAAGCGCGCUACUGGGCCAUUACUGACACUCAUGGACGAAAGCUAGGGGAGCGAAAGGG